rnacentral:rRNA from 1 species
GUAACGCGUAUGCAAUCUACCCUUUACUGGAGAAUAGCCCGGAGAAAUUCGGAUUAAUGCUCCAUAUGCUCGUAGGAUCUCCUGAUCCAGCGAGGAAAGCUCCGGCGGUAAAGGAUGAGCAUGCGUCCCAUUAGCUAGUUGGUGAGGUAGUGGCUCACCAAGGCGACGACGGGUAGCCGGCCUGAGAGGGCGACCGGCCACACUGGGACUGAGACACGGCCCAGACUCC